rnacentral:rRNA from 1 species
UGGGGGAUUUUGCACAAUGGGCGCAAGCCUGAUGCAGCGACGCCGCGUGAGGGAUGAAGGUCUUCGGGUUGUAAACCUCUCUCGCUGGGUUGAAAGGCCAUGCUUUGGGUGUGGUUGAUUUGAACUGGUAAAGAAGUACCGGCUAACUACGUGCCAGCAGCCGCGGUAAUACGUAGGGUACUAGCGUUGUCCGGAUUUAUUGGGCGUAAAGGGCUUGUAGGUGGUUUGUCGCGUCUGUCGUGAAAUCCUGUGGCUUAACCAUGGGCUUGCGGUGAGUACGGGCAGGCUUGAGUGCGGUAGGGGAGACUGGAAUUCCUGGUGUAGCGGUGGAAUGCGCAGAUAUCAGGAGGAACACCGGUGGCGAAGGCGGGUCUCUGGGCCGUUACUGACACUGAGGAGCGAAAGCGUGGGGAGCGAACAGG